UCCAGGGUAGCCUAGUGGGCUUGGCAUCUGCCCAGUAAGCGGAACACUGGGUUCGAUUCCCAUCCCUGGAC
rnacentral:tRNA from 1 species